rnacentral:sRNA from 1 species
UGUCAUCGGACUUGCGUAGUGGUGGGAGA